ACUGCACUGUUUCUGACUUUUUUUGAGUAUAACAGGGGCAGCUUCUGAGGAAGAGUACCCAUUUGAAAGGGAAUUGCUUUUUAGCACUCUUUGGCCAAAGCUAUACUCAAAAAUCUUUUAGCAAAGCAUUAGUAAAGAAAUGAGCAUGACUAAAAACUUAUUUAUUGAACACCAUCCAUAGAAUCAAGAAGGAGCGUCCAAUCUGUCAAUCCUUACCAUGUCUGGACCUGGGCCUUCGCAGGUGUUGCAAAAAAAGUUUGAGCCUUGCAACCCCUUGAAAAAGGCAAUGUGAUAUUACAUUAACUUCAUAAAAGUUAAAAUUUUAAUAGUUUAGAGAUUUUUGCAAUAGUUAUAA